AGGGUUGCUCUGUCUCUCCAACACAGCGCAUUGGGGAAGUUGGUGUGGGAUGCUGGGUAUCCGGACUGGAUGCAGGCUGCGGACGGGCCUCACUUGCGCCCAUUUCCAUGGUACCCUGAAGAUGCUACACAGAACACAGCUCAUGCUUGAUAGUUGGUGGUGUCGAGGAUGGCGGAAACUGAGAGACAUUUGCUUCUGGAAUUUCAGUACAAGUGGCCGCCGUGAUAGACGACCAGACGGCAUCCUCUCUACGAAUGGAAGGGAUUCACAGUUCGCCAUGUGCAUGACUUGUAUGAGCGUCCAGCAGUCAACAAACAACAAUUCUUAACCACUUCAGCGACAAGUAUGUAGGUGGCAAGGAGGUGCUGAACUUCUUGAGGCGAAUCAUUGCUCUUCGGAGAGACUGAGUCAAUGAUUACGGACAUGGCUCAUCGACACGCGCGUGACGAAGUCUACUAUUGAACAAGCCGUAGUUAAGAUCAUCUUGUCAGCUUGUGCCUCUUGUUUCCUUUAUGUCGGUGUCACUUCAUAAGUCAAAAUAUAGAUGCCGCGAUUGCAGGGGGAACCAAGAUUCCCUCGUCCAUCCCCCGAAGGCAAUGCCAAAACUUCGUUGCUGUCCUUACCAAACACUUGGCCGUUUCUGUCUGAGGAUGGGAAUCCUUGAAGCAGUGCUCGCCUCCACUGUCCACGUGGAGGCGAAACGACGUUCGUCCGGAGUAAGAAGAGCCACGUUGUUGGCUUGUCCAUGAACAGGGAACACGAGAUCCACCAUAUGCCACUGCAGACCCACUCCUCCUAAAACUGGUUUGUCUAACAGCUUCC
rnacentral:lncRNA from 1 species